ACAAGCGGUGGAUGAUGUGGUUUAAUUCGAUGCAACGCGAAAACCUUACCCACCUUUGACAUGGCAGGAAUCCUAAAGAGAUUUGGGAGUGCUCGAAAGAGAACCUGCACACAGGUGCUGCAUGGCUGUCGUCAGCUCGUGUCGUGAGAUGUUGGGUUAAGUCCCGCAACGAGCGCAACCCUUGCCAUUAGUUGCUACGAAAGGGCACUCUAAUGGGACUGCCGGUGACAAACCGGGAGGAAGGUGGGGAUGACGUCAAGUCCUCAUGGCCCUUAUAGGUGGGGCUACACACGUCAUACAAUGGCCGGUACAGAGGGUAGCCAACCCGCGAGGGGGAGCCAAUCCCACAAAGCCGGUCGUAGUCCGGAUCGCAGUCUGCAACUCGACUGCGUGAAGUCGGAAUCGCUAGUAAUCGCGGAUCAGCAUGUCGCGGUGAAUACGUUCCCGGGUCUU
rnacentral:rRNA from 1 species